rnacentral:rRNA from 1 species
CUACGUGCCAGCAGCCGCGGUAAUACGGAAGGUCCGGGCGUUAUCCGGAUUUAUUGGGUUUAAAGGGAGCGUAGGCCGGAGAUUAAGUGUGUUGUGAAAUGUAGACGCUCAACGUCUGACUUGCAGCGCAUACUGGUUUCCUUGAGUACGCACAACGUUGGCGGAAUUCGUCGUGUAGCGGUGAAAUGCUUAGAUAUGGCGAAGAACUCCGAUUGCGAAGGCAGCUGACGGGAGCGCAACUGACGCUUAAGCUCGAAGGUGCGGGUAUCGAACAGGAUUAGAUACCCUGGUAGUCCGCACAGUAAACGAUGGAUGCCCGCUGUUGGUACCUGGUAUCAGCGGCUAAGCGAAAGCAUUAAGCAUCCCACCUGGGGAGUACGCCGGCAACGGUGAAACUCAAAGGAAUUGACGGGGGCCCGCACAAGCGGAGGAACAUGUGGUUUAAUUCGAUGAUACGCGAGGAACCUUACCCGGGCU